rnacentral:lncRNA from 1 species
UUAAGAUUCGAGCUAAUCACCGACCGUCGUUAAUGCAAAUAGCAAAGAAUUUGAUGGUUGGUAUCCGAGAUCUCAAAUUCGAAUCCUAAUUGAUUCGCAUUUUCUGCUAAGUUUAUUUCUAAAAAAUAAACGAAAUAGAUAGCAUGCUAUUUUUCUUUCAAAAAAAAAAGAAGAUUCGAACUGAUCCAUAAUAAUUUUUUGAUGGGUUAAUUUCAUACAGUUUUCUCGAAGUAUAUCGGAUAGCAAAUAUAUUUCUAUAGAGUUCAACUUUUCAUAUUUAUCUCUACAAGAGUCUAAUUAUAUUCAUAUUUGUCCUUUUAAUUUGUUAGCGUUAGAGCAUUAUUUAUUUUUUAAACAGAAAAUAAAUGAAAUGGCAUUUUUGCCAUCACAAAUACGUCAUUCCAAAUGACCCAACUAUUAAAAUUAUACAGAAAUAUUCUUUCAAAAAUUUUCAACCAUCAUCUUCUUCCUUUUUAUCAUUUCAAAUAAUAUAGUAGGAGUAUAUAAAAAGAUCAAUUUACCUGAUUCACUAAUCAGGGCUAAGCAUUUUAUCUAUGGUUAACUAUAUUUUUCUAACGGAAACUAACAGCGAGAAUAUAUUUAAAAACGUUAGAACUCUUGUAGGAAUAAAUAUUAAAAGUUGAACUUUGUAUGGAUAUAUCUACUAUUCGAUAUAUUUAUAGGGAGCUGUAUGAAAUUAUUUUUUUUUUGAUUUAUC